rnacentral:rRNA from 1 species
GCGUGAGUGAAGAAGGCCCUAGGGUUGUAAAGCUCUUUCAGCGGGGAAGAUUAUGACGGUACCCGCAGAAGAAGCCCCGGCUAACUCCGUGCCAGCAGCCGCGGUAAUACGGAGGGGGCUAGCGUUGUUCGGAAUUACUGGGCGUAAAGCGCGCGUAGGCGGUCCAGACAGUCAGGCGUGAAAGCCCCGGGCUCAACCCGGGAACUGCGCUUGAUACUACUGGGCUAGAGUCCGGGAGAGGGUAGUGGAAUUCCCAGUGUAGAGGUGAAAUUCGU